ACAGCCAGUGGCUUUUCAAGCCACCACCGCCGCCACAGCUCACGGCUGGCCAUAGGUCCGGCCAAGAUCGAACCUUCACUGCCUCCUCUCCCCACCUCGGCCAGUCCCAGCCAUCAUCAACCGCACCAGCCGCCGGAAUUCGCCAAAAUUGCACCGAUUUUGUAGAAACUUACAGCCGUUCGUUCUCCUUCCUUCGGCCACCAUUUCCGCCAAACAAGGGAUGCAUGAACCGUGUGGAGCGAGGAUGUGCGAUCUCGAGCUGACUACAUGUCCCCCUAGUUCUGCGAGGAAUGCGGCUCGAGUUGACCUUGUGUCAGCGAGGCUUGCGAGGAAUGCGGCUCGAGUUGACUUUGUGUUACCGAGGCCUGUGAGGAAUGAGACACAGGGAAUUGACGGAUUAAUGUAAGAAACAAAUAGAAAUAUAGCCUAUUUCAAUUGUAGACGUUGACAUUCAGAUUUCAAGCAAUUAAUGCUAUUUUAAUAAAUUUUCCAUUUUCCUAA